rnacentral:rRNA from 1 species
UACGGAGGGGGCUAGCGUUGCUCGGAAUCACUGGGCGUAAAGCGCACGUAGGCGGCUUUUUAAGUCAGGGGUGAAAUCCCGGGGCUCAACCUCGGAACUGCCUUUGAUACUGCAAGUCUCGAGUCCGAUAGAGGUGAGUGGAAUUCCUAGUGUAGAGGUGAAAUUCGUAGAUAUUAGGAAGAACACCAGUGGCGAAGGCGGCUCACUGGAUCGGUACUGACGCUGAGGUGCGAAAGCGUGGGGAGCAAACAGGG